UUUUGACCUCAGUUCAGACAAGGCUACCCGCCGAAUUUAAGCAUAUUACUAAGCGGAGGAAAAGAAACUAACAAGGAUUCCCCUAGUAACGGCGAGCGAACCGGGAAGAGCCCAACUUGAAAAUCUAAAGGUUUUACCUUUCGAAUUGUAGUCUAGAGACGCGUUCUCUGCGGCGGAUCGGCUCCAAGUUCCCUGGAAAGGGACGUCAGAGAGGGUGAGAACCCCGUCGAAGCCGGUUUCAGUCGCUCCACGAGGCGCAGUCGAGGAGUCGGGUUGUUUGGGAAUGCAGCCCUAAGCAGGUGGUAAAUUCCAUCUAAGGCUAAAUAUUGGCGAGAGACCGAUAGCGAACAAGUACCGCGAGGGAAAGAUGAAAAGACCUUUGAAAAGAGAGUUAAAAAGUACCUGAAAUUGUUGAGGGGGAAGCGAUUCAAACCUGUGGGUGCUCCCGGGGCAGUAGCAAUACACGCGCUCGGGGCUGGUCAACGUGGGUUAGCUUGGAAGGAUAUCACUUCCGAGUUGACCGAGGACUCGACGUUGGCGGAAAGGUUUGCAUUGACCCGUCUAGAAACACGGACCAAGGAGUCUAA
rnacentral:rRNA from 1 species